UUCAUUAGCUUUCCAUUCAUUGUUGUUAACUUAUUAAUGUAGACAGUAAGCAAGAGAUUUGAAGCCACACUGUGAUGAGAAAGAGCAAAAUGGGGACGGGUUAUACCUCCUGAAUCAUACAUGAUUUGACAAUGAAAAUCAUGUGUGAAAAUGAUCUAUUUUUUUGGGUAGCCAAAUAUGGUCUAGAAGUGGAAUUCAUAUCAAAAUGGCUUGUUCUCAG
rnacentral:misc_RNA from 1 species